UGUUGCUGGUCUCCAAACCGGGGGCACAUGCACACUCUGUUUACACAUCCACCCACACCUGUGCACCCUCUGUAGUUCUAUGGCCUGGGUGGCUUUGUCUCCCCUCGCUGUGGUUCUACGUCUUUACACACACACUGCUACAAAGUCUCAUGGAAUGUUGCCGCGUUUAACGCAAUACAAUACAACUUUCAGCAACGGAUCUCUUGGCUCUCGCAUCGAUGAAGAACGCAGCGAAAUGCGAUAAGUAAUGUGAAUUGCAGAAUUCAGUGAAUCAUCGAAUCUUUGAACGCACCUUGCGCCCUUUGGCUAUUCUGAAGGGCAUGCCUGUUUGAGUAUCAUGAACACCUCAACUCCUCAUGGUUUGCCAUGAUGAGCUUGGACUUUGGGGGUCUUGCUGGCCUAUGGUUGGCUCCUCUCAAAUGGAUCAGCUUGCCAGUGUUUGGUGGCAUCACAGGUGUGAUAAAUAUCUACGCUUGUGGCUUUCCACCAUGUAACCUUUAGCAAUGAAGGUUUGCUGCGGCUCACAAAUGUCCCUCCUCUGCGAGGACAGCUUUUCAAAUGUUUGAUCUCAAAUCAGGUAGGAUUACCCGCUGAACUUAAGCAUAUCAAUAAGCG
rnacentral:rRNA from 1 species